AUCAAGCAAGAAGAGAAGACGACAUCUCGAUCACAGGCCAUGGCCAUGGGUGAGGAGGCCGCGGCCACGGUCACCGCGGCGGCGACGUUGUCUGCGCCCCACCUGCUCAUCAUAUGCAACCCGUCGCAGGGCAACAUCAACCCCAUGCUGCGCCUGGGCAAGCGCCUCGCGGCCAAGGGUCUCUUGGUGACCUUCUCAUCGACCGCCGAUGUUGGAGCCAAGAUCACGGCUUCCUCCGGGGUGGAAGAUGGCGGCGACGGCGUGCCGCUCGGCCUUGGCCGCAUCCGGUUCGAGUUCCUAGACGACCAUUUCGACGGGAAGGAGGAGCUGAAGUUCAACGACCUGAUGACGCACCUGGAGACGGCCGGGCCGCCGGCGUUCGCGAAGCUACUGAGGCGCCAGGAGGAGGCGGGCCGGCCUGUGGCGUGCGUCGUCGUGAACCCGUUCAUCCCGUGGGCGAUGGACGUCGCCCAAGCCGCCGGCAUCCCCUAUGCGGUGCUGUGGGUGCAGUCGUGCGCGGUGUUCUCGCUCUACUACCACCACGUGCACGGGCUCCUGGAUCUCCCGGCCGAGGACGACCUCGACGCUCGGGUCAAGCUCCCGGGACUCCCGGCGCUGUCUGUCACCGACGUGCCGUCGUUCCUGUUGCCGUCGAACCCCUACUGCUUCAAGCUCUUCACCGAGGCGAUACUGAGGCAGUUCCGCGCCAUCCACAGGCCGUCGUGGGUGUUCGUCAACUCCUUCUCCGAGCUGGAGCGCGACGUGGUCGACGCUCUCCAGAGCGUCUCGCCGCGGCCCCCCCUGCUCAUCCCCGUCGGUCCACUCGUCGAGCUGGAGGAGGAGGCCGCGGUGCGCGGCGACAUGAUGAAGCCGGCGGACGAGUGCGUGGGGUGGCUGGACACGCAGGCGCCGCGCUCCGUCGUGUACGCAUCUCUCGGCAGCAUGGCGGUGCUGUCCGCCGAGGAGCUGGCCGAGAUGGCGCACGGGCUCGCGUCCACCGGCCGCCCCUUCCUGUGGGUAGUUCGGCCGGACAACAGCGCGUUGCUCCCGGAGGGUUACCUCAACUCCAUCGCCGGGCGCGGCAUGGUGGUGCCAUGGAGCCCGCAGGACCUCGUGCUCGCGCACCCGUCCACGGCGUGCUACCUCACGCACUGCGGCUGGAACUCGACGCUGGAGACGCUCGCCGCGGGGGUCCCCGUGGCGGCCUUUCCGAUGUGGGGCGACCAGUGCACGGACGCUAAGUAUCUGGUGGAGGAGCUCAAGAUGGGCGUGCGCGUCCGCGCGCCGCUGCGGCGGGACGCCGUGCGCGACGCCUUGGAGAACGUUGUGGCUGGGCCGGACGCCGGCGCGAUGCUCGACAACGCCAGGGCGUGGAGCGUGGUGGCGAGGACGGCGGUGGCGCCCGGCGGGUCGUCGGACCGCCACAUACAGGCCUUCGUGGACGAGUUCCUUAGUGUUUCAAGUUCAAGAUAG
rnacentral:rRNA from 1 species